rnacentral:rRNA from 1 species
CCCUUAGAUGUUCUGGGCCGCACGCGCGCUACACUGAUGCAUUCAACGAGCCUAUCCUUGACCGACAGGUCCGGGUAAUCUUUGAAUCUGCAUCGUGACGGGGAUAGAUUAUUGCAAUUAUUAAUCUUCAACGAGGAAUGCCUAGUAGGCGCAAGUCAUCAGCUUGCGUCGAUUACGUCCCUGCCCUUUGUACACACCGCCCGUCGCUACUACCGAUUGAAUGGUUUAGUGAGAAUUUUGGACUGGAACUCCCUUGCUCAGCAAUGGGCGAGGGGGAGUCCGGGAAGCUAUUCUAACUGUAUCAUUUAGAGGAAGUAAAAGUCGUAACA